CGCCCGGGGCCGCGAGCCCGCCGGAGCCGUGCUGAGGGGAAAUCGCCGUCCUUUUGAGGAAACUUCGGGUUAGGGCGAACGAGGGCUAAUCAGAGAGCGGGAGGAAAAGGACCGGGAACGAGAGAGUGAUAAAACCCACAAAAGUUUUGGAGUUCCCUUGAGGUGUAUGGGUAUCAGACAGCAUUGCUAUUGCUCCAGCAUGGAAGCAGCUUCUUUGGAGGGUCAGGAAAAUCACAACUUCUGAUUGCCCCAGUUUCUUUCAGUGAGAAGGCAACACCGCAGCAAUGGAAAUCAGCUGCUCUUUGUUACUGGAAAUGCUAAACACAAGAAAUUUCUCUGGGAGUGUCUGGUUGGGAGACCGUUUCUACUGUAGCCUGAGAUGGGCUAGUGCACAAGCCUUCCAGAAGAAACUGCUGCUCCAGGAGGUCCCACAGAUCAGCUGUCUAAGCAGAAAUGAAUCAAUAAAUGACUUGAGCUCCAAUGUCAGGCAUUGCUGUACAAUGCCUGGAAGCCUGAACUGGCAUCAGUGAGGAUCAUUCACCUGCAGGACUCCUCUCACCUUCUACUUCUGUUCUCACCUUUGGCUCAUCCAAACGUGGUACCUCUGGGGCACGAGCUGACUUUUGCCUUAUUGUUCGUCCCACACCCACAGCAAAGCGACCCCGCUCCCAAGGCUUAAACGAAAGGGCUUCUGAUUCGUUAGCAGGUUUCAAUAACCCUGUGGGAACCUUUGAGCCUAGCUGAGGUAAGACAUGCCAUGUUACCAAACAGCUUGCAGGCUACGUGAUGGCUGGUUUACUGGUGCAAGGUUACAGGGUGAG